rnacentral:rRNA from 1 species
AACGAACGCUGGCGGCAUGCCUAACACAUGCAAGUCGAACGAGACCUUCGGGUCUAGUGGCGCACGGGUGCGUAACGCGUGGGAAUCUGCCCUUGGGUCCGGAAUAACUCAGAGAAAUUUGAGCUAAUACCGGAUGAUGACGUAAGUCCAAAGAUUUAUCGCCCAGGGAUGAGCCCGCGUAGGAUUAGCUAGUUGGUGAGGUAAAGGCUCACCAGGGCGACGAUCCUUAGCNGGUCUGAGAGGAUGAUCAGCCACACUGGGACUGAGACACGGCCCAGACUCCUACGGGAGGCAGCAGUGGGGAAUAUUGGACAAUGGGCGAAAGCCUGAUCCAGCAAUGCCGCGUGAGUGAUGAAGGCCUUAGGGUUGUAAAGCUCUUUUACCCGGGAUGAUAAUGACAGUACCGGGAGAAUAAGCCCCGGCUAACUCCGUGCCAGCCGCCGCGGUAAG